UGUUUGAUGUUCUAACGUGGACCCGUUACCCGGGUUGCGGACAGUGUCUGGUGGGUAGUUUGACUGGGGCGGUCUCCUCCUAAAGAGUAACGGAGGAGCACGAAGGUUGGCUAAUCCUGGUCGGACAUCAGGAGGUUAGUGCAAUGGCAUAAGCCAGCUUGACUGCGAGCGUGACGGCGCGAGCAGGUGCGAAAGCAGGUCAUAGUGAUCCGGUGGUUCUGAAUGGAAGGGCCAUCGCUCAACGGAUAAAAGGUACUCCGGGGAUAACAGGCUGAUACCGCCCAAGAGUUCAUAUCGACGGCGGUGUUUGGCACCUCGAUGUCGGCUCAUCACAUCCUGGGGCUGAAGUAGGUCCCAAGGGUAUGGCUGUUCGCCAUUUAAAGUGGUACGCGAGCUGGGUUUAGAACGUCGUGAGACAGUUCGGUCCCUAUCUGCCGUGGGCGCUGGAGAACUGAGGGGGGCUGCUCCUAGUACGAGAGGACCGGAGUGGACGCAUCACUGGUGUUCGGGUUGUCAUGCCAAUGGCACUGCCCGGUAGCUAAAUGCGGAAGAGAUAAGUGCUGAAAGCAUCUAAGCACGAAACUUGCCCCGAGAUGAGUUCUC
rnacentral:rRNA from 1 species